rnacentral:rRNA from 1 species
UGUUUGAUGUUCUAACGUGGACCCGUGAUCCGGGUUGCGGACAGUGUCUGGUGGGUAGUUUGACUGGGGCGGUCUCCUCCUAAAGAGUAACGGAGGAGCACGAAGGUUGGCUAAUCCUGGUCGGACAUCAGGAGGUUAGUGCAAUGGCAUAAGCCAGCUUGACUGCGAGCGUGACGGCGCGAGCAGGUGCGAAAGCAGGUCAUAGUGAUCCGGUGGUUCUGAAUGGAAGGGCCAUCGCUCAACGGAUAAAAGGUACUCCGGGGAUAACAGGCUGAUACCGCCCAAGAGUUCAUAUCGACGGCGGUGUUUGGCACCUCGAUGUCGGCUCAUCACAUCCUGGGGCUGAAGUAGGUCCCAAGGGUAUGGCUGUUCGCCAUUUAAAGUGGUACGCGAGCUGGGUUUAGAACGUCGUGAGACAGUUCGGUCCCUAUCUGCCGUGGGCGCU